rnacentral:rRNA from 1 species
GACGAACGCUGGCGGCGUGCUUAACACAUGCAAGUCGAACGGAAAGGCCCUGCUUUUGCGGGGUGCUCGAGUGGCGAACGGGUGAGUAACACGUGAGUAACCUGCCCUUGACUUUGGGAUAACUUCAGGAAACUGGGGCUAAUACCGGAUAGGAGCUCCUGCUGCAUGGUGGGGGUUGGAAAGUUUCGGCGGUUGGGGAUGGACUCGCGGCUUAUCAGCUUGUUGGUGGGGUAGUGGCUUACCAAGGCUUUGACGGGUAGCCGGCCUGAGAGGGUGACCGGCCACAUUGGGACUGAGAUACGGCCCAGACUCCUACGGGAGGCAGCAGUGGGGCAUAUUGCACCAUGGCCGGACGCCUGAUGCAGCAACGCCGCGUGCGGGAUGACGGCCUUCGGGUUGUAAACCGCUUUCGCCUGUGACGAAGCGUGAGUGACGGUAAUGGGUAAAGAAGCACCGGCUAACUACGUG